GUGGGAUUAGGAAAACUGCUCAGGUGGAAGAUAAAUAUCAGCAUCGAAAGAAACAACCAAACAGCUUCUAUGUUGGAAUUUCUCUAAUUACUGUUCUGGGACAGCCCGCAAGUGUCGCCACGUUUCCGGCGCCAACAUAGCAUGCCCACAACUUCCUUGGAAUACGGGAGGAAACUGGAGCACCCAGAGGAAACUCACGCAGACACGGGGAGAAGAUGUGAACUAAAUUCUCCAUAGCAAGUUGAACCAGAAGAAUCCCGUCACAGUGUCAUUUAAGAUCACAGACAAAUCUGUGAAGAGAGCAAGAUGCUGCCUUCAGACACGAAUACAAAAAUAAAAAUUGUAUCCUGGCCAUUCCUUGAAGAUCACGGUAAAAUUUGUUUAUCAAAAUUAAGAA